rnacentral:lncRNA from 1 species
CUGUGUCCCCUGCAUUCUAGCUCAGUGCAUAACAGCAAAAACCCAAGCACAUCAGGCUUCAGUUGGAUGCCAUUGAGUUAGCAGCAAUGCCUCAGAUUGGCCUUUGGAAGCAAGAAUCAAACUGGCAAUAGAAAAACAGACAUUUCAAUGCCUGCCCCUCUUUUUUGUCACUUACUGUUCAGGUUCUUAUCAGGCAGAGGUCAGAACAAGAUUACAGCCCUCUCCCCCAGAACACACAGACACACAUACACUUGUCCUGAAUUUUACAGGGUCUCUUAUGCAUACUUCGCAAUACAAACCACCAGAAAGUCCAAGGGACAAGAGAUCUAGUUGUGAGAGACUUGCCAAUCACAACCACCAACCCUGAGGGCUUCCUUAGCACCUCUUACUGAGCUGGAGACUCACCUGGAUGAAAAAGUGGUUUAAGACCUUUUGAUCCUUAUCAGCUGAACCUGACAUAAAGGAACUUCCCUGGAGUCCUCUAACCCCUACUAAGAUUGUUCUCCUGACAAGAGGAGUGGAUCGGUGUUUAAAGGGAAUCUAAGUGGAAGAAAGAUAAGGUUUUUCAGCCCCUGUUCUGUGUCAAAUGGCAAACCUGCCUUCGGAGAGUUCAGUCUCCCUGGGGAGACAGGACUACAAACUUGAACAAUUUUAAGUCAAGACAGCACAGGUUUUAAAAAGUCCUGCACCACACGGUUUGGAAAACGGGGCCUUUGUUUUCAGCAAGGGACGGACUCUUGCCUUUCCGGCAGCACCGAGUAUUCCACGGCGAAGGGGCCCCCUAGUUGCAAGAGCACAUCGCCACUGGAGGGGAAGCACCAGGCUCGGGAGAAAGUCUCUCAGACCAGCAUUCCAACGGAGGCAGCACCUCUGUAAAUACAAGGAAAGAAAGGCGAGGAGAGCGAGAGGAGCUCUCAAAUUGGGGUGGGGGUGGGGUGGAAGGAGUGAAAUGUGUCCGCAAAGGGAAAACUGGGGACUCCUACACCUCCUCAGAGGAGCCGGUCCCCCCAAGCUGAGGCCCAACCGCGGCUUGGGGUCUGGCUUGCUGGUCAGGAUGUAGCUUUUCCCCUAGCAGCGUUUUACAUGUUCAGACAAAAAGGAUAUCCCGAAACGGAGCUGCCAACCGACCUAAUCAGGCUAGUUUGGAAGAGUUGAAAGCAGGUCUAGGUGGAGAAGAAAGAACGAGAACAGGAACUGGUCAUGGAGACACGUUGCUGCGUUAGCCCAAGUUUGCUAGGGAACACCCCCCCCCCCGUGCAAAUCACAAAAAGAACAGGCAGG